rnacentral:lncRNA from 1 species
UCAACCAUAUUAUAUUGAUAUGCUCAAAUGGGCCAUUACAAGUUGAUAUCGACUAUGAAGUCCGAUAAACUAACGAAAAGAAAUUACAUUUAAAAGGUCCUUUAAGAACAAGCGGUGAAUGUGAUACGUGUUUGUCCACGUGUUUACGGCUAGGGCUUCGACAGAACACACGUUCAGCAAGCUCGGCCGCCGUGAAGCUUCCACCGUCGGGACUUUCAGGAACCGCCUCUCUGCUGUCAUUUCCUCAUCGUUGUUAAAAGUUUCACCGGGAAACAUGGUGGCUUCCUUCUCCGACACCAACUGUUACAGCUCCUCUUCGAUCGCCUUUCUCUCUCUCACCCGAUCUUCUUCUCCUAGCGAUGAGAAGUGUGCCGCCGUCUCCGGUAACUUCGACUCAGAGACCUUAGUUCCACCCCACUAAGGAUUGAUGGAUAAAGCAAACAUGAUAUUACUCUCAUAACACAUAGAAGAUGCAUCAAUCAAGGUUAGAUAGAGUUGGAAACACAGAGGACUGCCAAGAAAUCCAAUCAAAGAAAGAUCGAAACUUUAUUUAAUCAAACCGAAACCGGAGAAAGAGAUGAGAACACGUCCAAAAUCGAUUUGAAAAUCACAACACAAUCGCUGCACGCGAAACAAAAGAUCGAUACUAAGAUCGAAACUAUUUACAACCAAAAGAAUCGAUUCAAUUAGCUUCUCAUCUCUUCUUCUCCCGUGAAAGAUCCAGAGAGAAAUAACAGUGAGAAGAGAGAGAGAGAGAGCCUUUUGUCUAUUUUAAAUUAACUUACAUAGAUCUGAGAUCUCUUUUUUUUUUUGGGUUCUACGGUCUCACACUGUUCAAUGUCUUUGUCUCUGUUCACUCAUGGAAACAAAACGAUUAGAUUUGAUUUUGAUUGGAGGUUGGGCCUGGAGUUGAGAGAUGGCGACGCCUCUGUACAAUAGUCACUGAAACAAAAGUCUCUGCACCUGGCCUCUCAAGUUCCUUGGAGAAGACGACCAGGAGACGACGAGAAAGCUUCGUGGAGAGGAGACAAUGACGACGAAGACCAAGGUGUCUGGACGCUGAGUACGCCUCCUCUCUGCAACUUGCCUCUCAAAUCCUACGACGAAGAAGAAGAAGAAUCAUGGCGGGAUACGACGACGAAGGUCAUGGAAGAACACGACGCCGAAGGUCGUGGUGCAGCGGGUGAGGAUUGAAGGAUGAAGAAGACAACGGAGGUGGUGUUGGUGCGGCGGCGUUUGGUAGUAAUUAGGUUAAAGCUUGGUUUAGUUUUGGUUUAUUUGGUUUGUUGGUUUAUUGUUUAAUUAGAUUUAUUUUUUUAUAUUUUUGUAAACCACUUUAAUUAUAGAUCAAUUUAAAUAAUAAAGAAAAU